GACGAACGCUGGCGGCGUGCUUAACACAUGCAAGUCGAACGGAAAGGCCCUGCUUUUGUGGGGUGCUCGAGUGGCGAACGGGUGAGUAACACGUGAGUAACCUGCCCUUGACUUUGUGAUAACUUCAGGAAACUGGGGCUAAUACCGGAUAGGAGCUCCUGCUGCAUGGUGGGGGUUGGAAAGUUUCGGCGGUUGGGGAUGGACUCGCGGCUUAUCAGCUUGUUGGUGGGGUAGUGGCUUACCAAGGCUUUGACGGGUAGCCGGCCUGAGAGGGUGAACGGGCACAGUGGGACUGAGAGACGGAGCAGACUGCUACGGGAGGCAGCAGUGGGGAAUAUUGCACAAUGGGGGGAAGCCUGAUGCAGCAACGCCGCGUGCGGGAUGACGGCCUUCGGGUUGUAAACCGCUUUGGCAUGUGACGAAGAGUGAGUGACGGUAAUGGGUAAAGAAGCACCGGCUAACUACGUG
rnacentral:rRNA from 1 species